rnacentral:rRNA from 1 species
AUACGUAGGUGGCAAGCGUUGUCCGGAAUUACUGGGUGUAAAGGGCGUGUAGGCGGGGAUGCAAGUCAGAUGUGAAAUUCCGGGGCUCAACCCCGGCACUGCAUCUGAAACUGUGUCUCUUGAGUGCUGGAGAGGACAGCGGAAUUCCUAGUGUAGCGGUGAAAUGCGUAGAUAUUAGGAGGAACACCAGUGGCGAAGGCGGCUUUCUGGACAGUAACUGACGCUGAGGCGCGAAAGCGUGGGUAGCGAACAGGAUUAGAUACCCUGGUAGUCCACGCCGUAAACGAUGGAUACUAGGUGUAGGAGGUAUCGACCCCUUCUGUGCCGGAGUUAACACAAUAAGUAUCCCACCUGGGGAGUACGGCCGCAAGGUUGAAACUCAAAGGAAUUGACGGGG